rnacentral:rRNA from 1 species
GUCGAGCGAGAAGUCUUAGAUUGAAGCUUCGGCCGAUUUCUAAGAUGGACAGCGGCGAAAGGGAGAGUAACGCGUGGGUUAUCUACCUCCGGGUUCGGGAUAGCUGCGGGAAACUGCAGGUAAUACCGUAUAACGUCUACGGACCAAAGGUGUGAUUCCGCCUGGAGAUGAGCCCGCGUCCUAUUAGCUUGUUGGUGAGGUAACGGCUCACCAAGGCUUCGAUGGGUACCGGGUGUGAGAGCAUGGCCCGGCUCACUGGGACUGAGACACUGCCCAGACACCUACGGGUGGCUGCAGUCGAGAAUCUUCGGCAAUGCGCGCAAGCGUGACCGAGCGACGCCGCGUGCGGGAUGAAGGCCUUCGGGUUGUAAACCGCUGUCAGUUGGGAGGAAAUCCAUAGGGGCUAUCCCCUAUGGUUGACCUAUCAUCAGAGGAAGGACGGGCUAAGUUCGUGCCAGCAGCCGCGGUAAGACGAACCGUCCAAACGUUAUUCGGAAUCACUGGGCUUAAAGGGUGCGUAGGCGGCUUGGCAAGUUGGGUGUGAAAGCCCUCGGCUCAACCGAGGAAUUGCGCCCAAAACUGCCUUGAUAGAGUGAGAUAGAGGUGAGCGGAACUUAUGGUGGAGCGGUGAAAUGCGUUGAUAUCAUAAGGAACGCCAGUGGCGAAAGCGGCUCACUGGAUCUCUACUGACGCUGA